AUACAGAGGGUGCAAGCGUUAAUCGGAAUUACUGGGCGUAAAGGGUGCGUAGGUGGAGUAUCAAGUUGGGUGUGAAAGCCCCGGGCUUAACCUGGGACGGUCACUCAAAACUGUUAUUCUAGAGUACGGUAGAGGAUAGUGGAAUUUUCGGUGUAGCGGUGAAAUGCGUAGAUAUCGAAAGGAACAUCAAUGGCGAAGGCAGCUAUCUGGGCUGAUACUGACACUGAGGCACGAAAGCGUGGGUAGCAAACAGGAUUAGAUACCCCAGUAGUCC
rnacentral:rRNA from 1 species